rnacentral:rRNA from 1 species
AUUGAACGCUGGCGGCAGGCCUAACACAUGCAAGUCGAACGAGUGGCGGACGGGUGAGUAAUGUCUGGGAAACUGCCUAAUGGAGGGGGAUAACUACUGGAAACGGUAGCUAAUACCGCAUACCCUCGAUUUUGCCCAGCUGUGAUUAGCUAGUAGGUGGGGUAAAGGCUAACCUAGGCGACGAUCCCUAGCUGGUCUGAGAGGAUGACCGGCCAAACUGGAACUGAGACACGGUCAAGACUCGUACGGGAGGCAGCAGUGGGGAAUAUGGCCCAAUGGGCGCAAGCCUGAUGCAGCAAGGCCGCGUGUAUGAAGAAGGCCUUCGGGUUGUAAAGUACUUUCAGCGGGGAGGCGUUACCCGCAGAAGAAGCACCGGCUAACUCCGUGCCAGCAGCCGCGGUAAUAC